rfam:Ciona savignyi cont_45542, whole genome shotgun sequence.
UACCUGGUUGAUCCUGCCAGUAGUCAUAUGCUUGUCUCAAAGAUUAAGCCAUGCAAGUCUAAGUACGAGCUCUCGUACAGUGAAACUGCGAAUGGCUCAUUAAAUCAGUUAUGGUUCAUUUGAUCGUACAGUUUACUUGGAUAACUGUGGUAAUUCUAGAGCUAAUACAUGCGAGAAGCGCCGACCUCGCGGGAGGCGUGCAUUUAUCAGACCAAAAACCGGCCGCGUCUUCGGGCGCGUUCGCCUUGGUGACUCUGGAUAACUUUGCGGAUCGCACGGUCUAGCACGGGCGACGGAUCAUUCAAGUGUCUGCCCUAUCAACUUUCGUCGGUACGGUAUUUGCCUACCGAGGUUCUUACGGGUGACGGGGAAUCAGGGUUCGAUUCCGGAGAGGGAGCCUGAGAAACGGCUACCACAUCCAAGGAAGGCAGCAGGCGCGCAAAUUACCCAUUCCCGACGCGGGGAGGUAGUGACGAAAAAUAACAAUGCAGGACUCGUUCGAGGCCCUGUAAUUGGAAUGAGUACACUUUAAAAGCUUUAACGAGUAUCCAUUGGAGGGCAAGUCUGGUGCCAGCAGCCGCGGUAAUUCCAGCUCCAAAAGUAUAUAUUUAAGUUGUUGCGGUUAAAAAGCUCGUAGUUGGAUUUUGGGCGCAGGCGGCCGGUCCGUCGCAAGGCGUGUACUGGACGUCCUGGCCUUCCCUCCGGUUCUCCGCCGGUGCUCUUGACUGAGUGUCGGCGGCGGCCGGAACGUUUACUUUGAAAAAAUUAGAGUGUUCAAAGCAGGCUCUCGAGCCUGGAUAAUGGUGCAUGGAAUAAUGGAAUAGGACCUCGGUUCUAUUUUGUUGGUUUUCGGAGCGCGAGGUAAUGAUUAAGAGGGACAGACGGGGGCAUUCGUACUGUGCCGUUAGAGGUGAAAUUCUUGGAUCGGCGCAAGACGAACGACUGCGAAAGCAUUUGCCAAGAAUGUUUUCUUUAAUCAAGAGCGAAAGUCAGAGGUUCGAAGACGAUCAGAUACCGUCCUAGUUCUGACUAUAAACGAUGCC